GGGCGGUUAGCUCAGCUGGUAAGAGCGCCUCCCUUACAAGGAGGAGGUCGUUGGUUCGAGUCCAAUACCGCCCA
rnacentral:tRNA from 1 species